UGAGCACCUGAGGAGGAAAGACGCAAGGCGGGUUGGACUUUUGGCCGCAGAUGGAAUCGUUGCGUGGCGCUCGGGCCGGGACACUCACGGCUGUCUGGGCGGUGAUGUGUGUGCAGCCCACCACCUUGGCACCGGCGAGGGGUUUCUCCCCCUGAGCCCGCUUCCUCAGAGCCAUCAGGGCGGGCAUUUCUGGAAGGAAACGCAGAAAUGUGAAGACUAAUCCCCACAACACAGAGCCCACAGUCUCCCAUGAAACCACGGGUCAGAGGGUGAGAACCGGAGCCGGGGAGACGAGGACGGCGGUGCUUAGUCAGGAGGCGGGAAAGGUCAGUCAACCAUUCAUCCGGAUGGAAUCCAAAGAUGCGUCGUAUACCUUGGUAUGUCUGAUAAGCAACCAGUUGAGCAACGAGUUUGUUUUUUUGUGUUGUUUUACCUGAGCUGUAGCUGUCUGUGGAGGACUGGGAGAUGGAGCGGGAUAGAGAACGCCGGCCGAUCUUGGAGGGACGCUUGUUGAACUCUUGUUUCUGCUCCGCAAACUGAAUCUGGAGGAAAAACACAAACAUCCAUUAUUUCAGAUGACGUUCAGAGCCCAGUUCACAACUCAAGUUGCCUCUAGCCACUACACAAGAAAACUACUGAAACAAAGAUAGUUUAUAUACCAAUCAUCUCCAGACUUUUUUAAAGCUGCAGACUGUAUUAACUUCAUAAGAUUUCCACAGACUGGCUUGUAAGAGGCUAAAUUCGGCAUCAGAUUAUUUUACCUCGAGUUUCUCUUAACUUUUACAGAUAAAAUGGCAAAAUACUUAAAGCUGGUGUGAACUGUAUUAGCAAACUAGAUUAUGUGUAGGAACUAUUAAAAUGUGUUGUAGAUUUUUCUAUAUGUGACAUAAGUACAAACUUGAAAUGAUAUUUUCUAAAUAUCAUAACAAAUAUGAAUCCAUCAUUUAAGCAACUUUAUUAGCCACAUUCACGUAACAUUAGACAGUCGGCUGUAGAAUAUUAUGCAUUAUUAUUAUUAUAGUGUGUGGGAACAUACCAUACAAAUGUUGCAAUAAGUCCAGACUCUGAGUAAAAGCUCCUGGUUUAUAUCUGUUUAAAUGCAGAUUUAUUUUAUUUUGAAGUCAACGGCUCUUUUUCUGUUUCCUCUCUGUCUCUUUUAUACCCAAAGAAACAGUCCAAAUACGUUUGUUUUUUUUGUUAAGUUUGGGGGUUUCAAUGUAGCAGUCGGAGCAGUCGCUUCGAGAAACUAGAAGAUAGAUUUUUGACACUUGACUGAGCGACUUGACAUGCGUCAGGAAUAAGUGGUGGAGAGAAUCCAAUAGUUUUUCAAAAUAAAACUUCCUUCAGAAUCAGAAUAAAGAGAAAACAGAAAAAAUAUAGGUUGCGUCUUUUCCUCUGUGGCCCGGUACCAAUUGUCCCACAGACUGGUACUGGUCUGUGCCCCCGAGGUUGGGGACCGCCAAUUUAUGCAACUUUAAUAACUAUAUUCUUUCUGAAUCCUUCUAAUAAAGUCUAAUUAUCGUAUCUGUAUUGUAAUGAUGGCCUUUAAACGUGACCAAUCCCCAUACUUAUCAUGCUGCUGACAGCUGUGGAUGGAGAAAAGCUCUUUUAGACAGAGGACUGAUGUUGACGGUGUUAACAAAGCCGCAGACAUUUGAGAUGGAUCUUUAAGUACCGAGCCAGCACCCUUAAUUACCCAACUACUACAUUAGAUUCUUUAUCUAAUCCUUAAAAAAAAGGAAAAUAAAAAAGAAAUCAAUGUCACUGAAGUCAAACUACACAACUUGAAAAGGUCAUAUUUUUCUUUAGCUUUUUGUUUGCUCCUUCCAGGUGAAAGUGCCGUGUGGGAACCGCGGAGCUUCUGGGGAGCAUCAGGGUCAGCUUGGGUUUAAGUGAGCGUACAUGCAGGAGAAACAUGAAACCCAACAGCAUUGUCUGAGUGUUAGCUGUACCGUGCAAACUGUGGUUUUAUUCAGCGGCAGUACAGUUAAUUCCAAAAGUAACAUGCAUUAAACUUUUUAGCUGUGUCUAAGGUACAAGAAGUGCUCUUAGGGCCACUUUUGGAAAUAAACAAUGUUUAUAAGUUUAGGAAAAAUGACAGAAAAAACAUUUGAAAAAAAAUGCUAGGUUUCAAAACAAUUUGCGAUAUUUUCUGGACUAUAAGACAAACUUAACCCAAGAGAACCCAUGGUGACAUCAUUGUUACAGAAAAACAUCAAUGCAUUAUGUGGUCCACUUGGUUUGUGAUUUAUUCCAUAUAAUUUUAGAUUUUAGGAAAAAUGGGUCCUUAUGGGUUAAAAACCUUGAUUAAUAAAAAACAAAAAAAACACUGUGCCUUAGAAUCCAGAGCUCCUUCUAUACACAUAUGAAUUCUGCAUGUGUUAAGUUGCUAAAUAGGUUGUAUUUUAUUGUAAUAAAUGCGCCAACAUGGCUAAUGUGAA